UUGUCUUUCUUUUUGACCAUUUUUGUGUUGUGUGCGAUUGUGUAUGUGUGAUGAAAAUCUGCAGAACGAAGAUUUCGGAUGCAAAGAAAAAAAAGUAAAAAAGAAAGGAAAGGUAAGGAGAGCGUCACAAUACGACUUCUUCAAUUCACUCUGUGACCUCGUCCACCUCAAAAAAAAAAAAAAAAAA
rnacentral:ribozyme from 1 species